GUAAACUAAUAGCAAACCUAUUGAAAGGUAGGGACGCAAAGUUUCCGGUCUAAGGGGUCUGCAAAGCCCUAUGACAGCGGGAUUGCCGGU
rnacentral:ncRNA from 1 species